UAAUUGAAGAGUUUGAUCAUGGCUCAGAUUGAACGCUGGCGGCAGGCCUAACACAUGCAAGUCGAACGGUAACAGGAAGCAGC
rnacentral:rRNA from 1 species